GUUGUGGCUCAGUGAUAGAGCGCUUGCCUAGCAUGCAUGAGGCACUGGAUUCGAUUCUCAGCAUCACA
rnacentral:tRNA from 1 species